rnacentral:tRNA from 1 species
GAGAAUUUAAUUAAAAUAAUAAUAUAGAAGUGUCAAUUCUAAUUUACCAGGGGGUAAUUCUUU